GCGUAAGUCAGAUUUUAUCAACCAAAUGAAUCAGGGAAAAAAGUUCAUGCCCAGGGGUCAGGCUAUAGCGCCAGAACACUUGCUUGUAUGUAACUAAGGCCACAUGCCCUCUUCAGGCAGCCCUUUUAACUGGGAGCAAAGUGA
rnacentral:snoRNA from 1 species